rnacentral:lncRNA from 1 species
UUAUAUUGUGACAUGUUGCUGUUUCACAUGAAAUGAGCUUCUUUUUCUUUGUCGAUACCUUGGGGAGCAAGAGCUCAAAGCAAAACGAAAACAAAGCUAUACAGCUAUGCUGACUCGCUGAGUCGCGUUGCUACAAAUUUCAUAGUCUAUCCAAAUCGAUAAACCGGGAGGAGGAGACUGCAAAUUCGUUUAAUGAUACCUUCAAAUUGCAGGCCAAGAAAGUAGGAGGAUCAUCAGAAAAACAUGAAAUACAAAAAAAGACGCGUGUAAUAAUUUAUUACAGAGAAGAACACCAAUGUUCGCUAAAUUCUUGUGCUAGUAGAAAUCAAAUAACUACUACAAAAGGGAGAGGUAUGAAUUGGUAGGGAAGUGAGGAACCAUAAUUGUGGAAGCUGAUGAUGAUUUUGAUUUUCUUUUGGGUAGUUUGACAGGGUUAGGUACUUUCAUGGUGGAGAUAGUUAGCGCAUCAGAAACUCGAGAGGAUGGAGAAGAAGAAUGGAAGCAACUAAACAAAGAUGAGAAGAUAGAUGUCAUUUUUUUU